CUUGGUUUUCAUCUUAUAAGGAUGUUAAGUUAGCCACUCGAAGUUGAGAUUGUCUAUGAUCGAGCGUAUGUACGUGUGUAUCUGUAACCAAGUGGGUAAUUGUGUAAGCUCAAAUUGCGCAGCAACGCUAGGGGGGAAAGGAACGUAGCUCCCCUUAUAUUUUUGAAAUGAAAUAUUUCUCCCUUGUAAAAGGUUGACGGAAACUUAAGUCAGUUACGAAGGAGAUUUCAAUCACGAAGGGUCUCGUAACUCAGAUACUCUGAGCUCUAUUGACUAUAUAAGGAUAUAGCUACAGCUAUAUCUUUGAAGUGACGACGACUAUUCCUUUCGACAUGUAAUCGCCGUUUAAACCCAGCCAGGAAGAAGCAUUCCCUCAUCGCAGUCUCUCACUCUACGCGUACUUCGCCUUCGUCCCAGGAUGAUAUCGGUGGCUUGUGCUAUUUAUUGCAAUUCGGUGGCCUCUGCGACAUCGUCAGAUACUUUGAAGUUAUCGACCAAGCACCCGAUAUACGAUGUCUACGAAUCCUAGAAGCGCUGCACAUUGGGAGGGAGAGGCCCAGUAUGAAUGUCACACAGGAGACCUUCCUCCUCCCCACCAACGUCAGGUGAGCAGCUGACAACUCCCCACCACAACCAUUACACCAAAGGGACCCCGACGGUUACAGAAACGUUAGCUCUCGCCCUGAAGACGUCCCUCGAAAUCCUGAGGGUGAUCAAAGCACAGGCUCUCACCCUGAGGGCGACCUACCAGCACGCCCUUCGAGAAGACCUCAACCAUCGCCGAUGAGAAUGAGGCUCCGCCCAUGGAGAAGACAGCCAAUCAGAAGCCGUCCCCCCUGUUGACAUCACACACAACGCCACAAGAAGCAUCCAAGCAAAAUAGGGUACCAGACUCCCCAUAUAAUAAUAAUAAAUCUUUAUUUCAGCUCAAAGAUUGAUACAUGGAAUAUAAAAAGUAUAGACAAUAAUAUAUACACUCUACAUAUAUGAGAUAACAUGAUAAAAAAUUAUUAUUCAGCAAUA